CUCCAGUAUGAGUGUCAACUGCAGAGCCAACAACACCAUAACUGCCUUUCCCAAUGACUUCUUGUAUUUGAUAUCGACUUGCCUCUCCAUACUCAGUGAAGAAUUCUGCUUCAGCAGAGCCCUUCUUGUGUGCAUCCAUGGUAGUAGUAGAGCCAAAAGCGAAAUGGGUAAUUUGUUGGGGAACUGUAAUGUGCUUUAAUCCAGAGAGAUCAAAAUCCUCAAUAACCGUUAACGGAUUCUCCUGCUCCCCACCUCCUUCGUUUCUUCGCCUUUCACGCACACUAGUAGCCGAUGAUUGUGGGUGGCCACUAAUAAUAGUAUCUGAAGAUGAUGAUGACGAUGAAGAAGUGUUGCGGCGAUGAAACCAGCGACGAANNNCCAUAAGAGUCCCGCUCCCCAUAUAAAUCUCAGGCUGUUUGAUUUACAGCCACUCGAUUCUAGCAUUUGCCCACCUUCCUAUUUUCUAUGUAUGGUUUCUUGUUUCCUAUUUUGGGUCUGGAUUUGCUAUUUUCUCGUCGAUCGAAUUGUUUGCUAUUCUUGCUCUUUUGCAUGUCUCUCUUCUUUCUUUCUUUUUAUGAUUAUUUUACGAGGCAGAGAUGGACACGUUUGCUUCUUCCCCCUAGUAUUUAAUUGCUUCAAGAAAUUAUUCUCUGCGCCAACAUCAUCAUCUUCACAUCCACACUGACCACCCCUCCCAAUCUACCAGAGCUUUCUUCUUUAUUUUU
rnacentral:misc_RNA from 1 species